rnacentral:tRNA from 1 species
AGGGUUGUGGCUCAGCAGUAGAGCGCUCGCCUCGAACGUGUAAGGCCCUGGGUUCGAGCCUCAGCACCACAU